rnacentral:rRNA from 1 species
GUCCUAGCCGUAAACGUUGGAUGCUAGGUGUGGGCGGACAUUGACCCCGUCUGUGCCGGAGCUAACGCAUUAAGCAUCCCGCCUGGGGAGUACGGCCGCAAGGCUAAAAACUCAAAGGAAUUGACGGGGGCCCGCACAAGCGGCGGAGCAUGUGGCUUAAUUCGACGCAACGCGAAGAACCUUACCUGGGUUUGACAUGCGGGGUGAAAAGCGUGGAAAACACGCCGCUCUUCGGAGCCCGUACAGGUGGUGCAUGGCUGUCGU